CUACUGAUGUCCGUGUCGCGAUAGUAAUUCAACCUAGUACGAGAGCUUCUUGUGGCAUUUCACUCAUCAGAACACCUCCUUGCAAAAUAGUUGCAUCGCUGUGCUUUCGGGAGUUCAGUGUUUCCUGUAUAUGUUCUGAACAAGAGCUGCAUUGCAGAUGACGCAGCGUUUUUUCGACGAAUUCAUCAGAGAAGGAACAUCGAUCUCGUUAUAAUUUCUGCAUUACGUCGUGAUACGACAUCGGAAAGAAAAGCUUAUUCGGAUCAAUAAAUUUCAGUUUUAUGACAAGUGACAAACUUACCGUUUCUUUGUUCAACUUUCAUGGCUAGGUGGAAUGUGUUUGCCGCUGAGAAGAUCUAGCAAGAGGGUCCCGAAGCUGUAGACAACGCUCUCUGGUAUAGUUCUUCCUGUAAAGAAUGCAACACUCAUGCAGAGGUAUCAUCAAUCUCAUUUCAGGUUACGGAGUAAUGAGCCCACCACCUGAUCCUAUAAGCGUUAAGGUGGUACAAGUCUCUGCCUUUGCUGCUGCAAUAGGACACGUACAAAGGGGAUCGAUACAGAAUCUCAUAUGUUAGUAAGAUCAAAAUUUUCAAAGCACAGACAGACAAAAAACACAAGACCCUUUGAUGGAAAUGGGCAAAGGAACGAAAUUUCUCAAGAGUACUGAUGAGAAAUUGACGAAGAUCGGGCCGAGCGGUUCUGUUUAACACUGUGCCGAGGCUGAACUCUCUGAACGUUGGGUAAGUCCUCGUUUCCAUCUAUCCUGGUCCUGAAGCGAGUUAGAUGAUUAGAUUUACGUAAACCUAUCGACGGGCAUCUAUCCUGGCAUGAAGUGUGCCAGGUCGGAGCUAUUUUUCCAUCUCGUGUAGUUUCCGAGAAAAUAUUGUGCAUAUGGAUAACCGUGACAAAGGUGAAUGCGGAUAAGAAUGUGGAGACGAGGGUGACGAAGUAAAACCCUGGAAUGGGGGUUUUCAUGUUACAAGUAAAAAAUAAGAGUAUUCGGAAUAAUUUACCUGUGAAAAAUAAAGAUAACGAUAAAAUCAUAGAGGCCCAAGUCCAAAGCACAAACAACCUCGUAAUAAGUAACCUUCCGGUAGGGAUAGAGUCUUGGCUCUGUACUAGGUCGGCCUCCGACACGGUGGAGAAGAACAAUAAUAUAUAUAUAAUAUAUGCACGUGUCAAGUAUGUGUUUGCUGAUUUACGUCAGUGAGUAGUCCACCCAUUCUAUUCAAUAGUUACUUCAACCAACCAAAUACCUAGUUUCCACUCUAUCUUUACUGCUUUAGACCGGUAUGGUAUAAUUAUAAUUUAUAUGGGGCUCCUUUUAGAAUCAUGCUAUUGGGCCGUUUCAGUAUCAUGUUAGGCCCAUUUAUUUCCCUCCCAUGGCCCAUUUAUUUGUUAAAAAAGGAAAAAAGUCAAACUUUUAUGGGUUAUUGUUCUGUUUUGUACUCUUUUUUCUGUUUUGUACUCUUUUUUCCUUGGGGUUGGGGUUUUUUUCCCCUGCAAUGAUACCCUUUUUAUUUCCUUUUUUCUGGAAUGAUACAUUUUUUUAUUUCUUUAUCUAUAAGUAUUUACACUUUCAUAAGAAAGGGUUUGGAUGUAACAGAAUAGUUCUUCUGUCAGACAAAAGAAAUAUUAAAAAGAAAAUUCCGAACUUGUAAUGGGGAUACU